rnacentral:rRNA from 1 species
GAUGAACGCUGGCGGCGUGCCUAAUACAUGCACGUCGAGCGAACGGACGAGAAGCUUGCUUCUCUGAUGUUAGCGGCGGACGGGUGAGUAACACGUGGAUAACCUACCUAUAAGACUGGGAUAACUUCGGGAAACCGGAGCUAAUACCGGAUAAUAUUUUGAACCGCAUGGUUCAAAAGUGAAAGACGGUCUUGCUGUCACUUAUAGAUGGAUCCGCGCUGCAUUAGCUAGUUGGUAAGGUAACGGCUUACCAAGGCAACGAUGCAUAGCCGACCUGUGAGGGUGAUCGGCCACACGGGAACUGAGACGCGGUCCAGACUCCUACGGGAGGCAGCAGUAGGGAAUCGUCCGCAAUGGGCGAAAGCCUGACGGAGCAACGCCGCGUGAGUGAUGAAGGUCUUCGGAUCGUAAAACUCUGUUAUUAGGGAAGAACAGAUGUGUAAGUAACUGUGCACAGCUUGACGGUACCUAAUCAGAAAGCCACGGCUAACUACGUG